AUUAUUCAAAAAAUAAACGAAAUGAAGGCAUAAUCUUGUGAAUAUACAAUAUUUUUAUAUUUUUUUUAUAUUUUUAUAUAAAAUAUUUGUUUUUUAAACCCGCCCGCCAAGUCUUCAAUAAUUAAAGUAAACGCGUUUCUUCGGUUCACACAAAGUCAAGUAGUGUACGUGAAAAAAAUAAUUGAAAUUACCAGAAAAGUGCAAAUACAAAUACAAGCAAUUGCAGAAUGUCAUUCCUACCAACGAAUAUUGGUUCCCAAUUUUUAAAUUUUUCGGUCGUCUCGAGUUUUAAGACGCGUACUAUGGGCAUGGAUGUGUCUAAGCUGUAUCCAAAUUUCUCCGAUUGUGAAAUCAUCUCAUUGCAAAAUGCUUGGAAAAUCAUAGAGCCGAAAAUUCGUAGACUCUCAAAGGAAAUUCCAGUGGAGUAGCUUAUAUGUAACAAAUUGCGAGUUGAUAGAGAAUUUUCGUGAUCAAAAUGGAACAAUAAGUAGAUAUGAUUUGAUAAACUACACCUAUCGGCUAUUGCGAGUUUAUGGCAAAGUGAUAAAGUGUAACGUCGAGCCACUUCAAACUUCGAAAAUACUGGAACCUUUCGUAAAGUUACAUACAAAAUAUUCUACGGAUAUUGCCAAUAUAAGACUCCAAUUGGAUUACAUUCAGAGACACAUAUUCUCGGAGCUAAGUAGUCAUUUAUCGCCAACCACAGUGGACUCUUUCGAUAAACUGACUAAAUUCAUGUUACACUAUUUCCGUAUCAGAGCAGGAUCAUUGGUAGAUUGACUUCGGUACCUACGAUAUUUACUAAAAAAAAAUUAAUUUGAUGAGAUAAGGUCCUAAAUAAUUCCAAAAAGUUAAGCGAGUGCAAAGAAAAUUAAGAUAAAAACGUCAAAACAGAAAAACUAGAAAUCUAAAUUAUUUCUAUGUACAUAAAAAAAUUUCAAUUUUAAUCAAUAAAAUUUCUGAAGAUACUUCUUUUAAAAAUAAA